rnacentral:rRNA from 1 species
AGAGAGAGACAUGCGCGCAUAUCAAUAAGCGGAGGAAAAGAAACUAACUAAGGAUUCCCCUAGUAACGGCGAGUGAAGCGGGAAGAGCUCAAAUUUGAAAUCUUAAAGGGUUUCCCUUUACGAAUUGUAGUUUAAAGAAGUGUUUUCUGUUGAGGUUUUGGUAAAAGUUCUUUGGAAUAGGACAUCAUAGAGGGUGAGAAUCCCGUAUUUGACCUUUACUUUCAACUUUGUGAUACACUUUCAAAGAGUCGGAUUGUUUGGGAAUGCAGUCCAAAAUGGGUGGUAAAUUUCAUCUAAAGCUAAAUAUUGGCGAGAGACCGAUAGCGAACAAGUACCGUGAGGGAAAGAUGAAAAGAACUUUGAAAAGAGAGUUAAACAGUACGUGAAAUUGUCAAAAGGGAAGCGUUUGACACCAGUGUUGUUUUUCUGAAAAUCAAUUAAAGAACUGUUUAUGCUAAGUUGUUUAGACUUUAUCAGCUAACUGUUUAGUUUUGAGCUUUUCUUUAAUGCACUUUUCAGUUAACAAGUCAACAUCAAUUUCUUUUGCUGUAAAAAAGCUUGAGGAAGGUGGCUUGAGAUUCGUCUUAAGUGUUUAUAGCCUCUUGCCUAUGCAGUCGGAGAGAUUGAGGUCUGCAGCGUAGAUCCUUCGGGGCUAAAUGCAUUUGUGCUAAGUUAUAGCAUUUUAUAGACAACUUGUUGACUAUGAUUUGUCUUGUAGCUUACUCGCUUAUGUUAUUUUACCUACGCUUAGGAUGUUGAGCGCAUGUCUCUCUC